CUAAGUUUGAUGGCGACCGGCGCACGGGUGAGUAACACGUAUCCAACCUGCCGAUGACUCGGGGAUAGCCUUUCGAAAGAAAGAUUAAUACCCGAUGGCAUAGUUCUUCCGCAUGGUAGAACUAUUAAAGAAUUUCGGUCAUCGAUGGGGAUGCGUUCCAUUAGGUUAUUGGCGGGGUAACGGCCCACCAAGCCUUCGACGGAUAGGGGUUCUGAGAGGAAGGUCCCCCACAUUGGAACUGAGACACGGUCCAAACUCCUACGGGAGGCAGCAUG
rnacentral:rRNA from 1 species